UACGUAGGGUGCGAGCGUUGUCCGGAAUUAUUGGGCGUAAAGGGCUCGUAGGCGGUUUGUUGCGUCGGGAGUGAAAACUCAGGGCUUAACCCUGAGCCUGCUUCCGAUACGGGCAGACUAGAGGUAUGCAGGGGAGAACGGAAUUCCUGGUGUAGCGGUGAAAUGCGCAGAUAUCAGGAGGAACACCGGUGGCGAAGGCGGUUCUCUGGGCCAUAACUGACGCUGAGAAGCGAAAGCAUGGGGAGCGAACAGG
rnacentral:rRNA from 1 species